CCACUUAUCUUAGCACUACAGUAUAUCUGAAGUCGGAGUCCUAAGCUCAAGGUAUUUAAAAAAAAAAAAAGUCAAGAAUACACAGCAACCAGGGUCAAGU